GAUAGGCAGAGCUGCUGCGGAUCAGGCUGCAUGUCGUGGUCAGGGUGGGGGAGGAUUUCUUCCGGUACCUCUGAGACUUCUGGAUCCUCUCCCUCUAUUCUGACCACGUCGGUGACGCCGCAUGUUGGGGUUUAAUGGACCAGCCGUUCCCCAUGGUCCCUAACCCAAAUUACGUGCCUCCGUCCACGACGAUGGCGCCGCCUCCGACCGCUCAGCAGCCCGCAUCCACGGUGACGCCGACUCGCGACAGAUGCCGCGGCCCUCGUGUGUCUAGUCUCAGACAUGACAGUAGCUGAAGCCCCUCAACCACCUCCCACCAUACGGUUGCGCAUUUGGCCUGAUGGCGGCACGGGUCAAAGUCGUUGGAACAUGAGGUCACAUUAGCGGAGACAUUCAAGUACACCCACACGCUGAAGGAGAACAAAGCGAGAUUUAUUGAUCACCGGUCUUAGAACCAUUAUGCGAAAGUCCUACACACAAAGACUAGAUGCCGCGACUCAGCAGUCUCAGCAAAGUGGGGAGGACGUCACCGAUGGAUCUGUGAUCUCAAUCGUUGACCCCGAUGCAGUUUGGCGCGAGACUGCCUCAGCCUCGUACAAGAACCGCGUUCUGGGAUGGGGUCGUUCUUCGCCAGUAGCCUCCGCACCUCAACGUUGAGGCCGUUGUCAAGCUUCGCCACCAGUCGAGCCAUCCAACCCGAGGAAGGCGUGGAUUUAAGCUUCCAAGUGCAGGAGCUCUAGUGCAGCUUUCACUAGCAGGCUCAGGAGCUUAACAAUUAUCGGGAGAGACAUCAGGAGAUCUCACCCGCGUGACGUCUAUGGAUGAGUUCAGGUUGGAGUUUAGAGAGUCACUGGAGCGGAUGCAGGAGCUCAUAUGGAGGUGUACCUGACCCAGAUGUGCGCCGCUGGCAUCGACCCUGCUGGUGGCAGCGGUCCUGCUGCAGGUGACAGCAGUAGCGCUAGUGGCACAAGGAUAUCGUCAUCGCCUCCUGCACUGCUAACUCAAGGUUAUGGGACUCACGACGACGACUACUUGGAUAUGUAGAUAUUAAUUUUUAUUUUAUUACUUCAUAUAUUUA